AACGCACCUUGCGCUCCCUGGUAUUCCGGGGAGCACGCCUGUUCGAGUGUCAUGAAACUAUCAAGCAAGAUAGAUUUAUUUCUAUCUCUGUUUGGAUAUGGACUCUGCUGCGUCAAUGCGGCUGGUCUUAAAUGUAUUAGCUGGUCCUAGUGAAGGUUUGGUUCUACUCAGCAUGAUAAUUAUCUGAUGUUGAGGACAGUCUCAGGACUGGCCAGGCUCUCUCUGGAUUGCUUCUAAUCGUCUUUGGACAAUUAAUCAAUAUCUGACCUCGAAUCAGGUGGGACUACCCGCUGAACUUAA
rnacentral:misc_RNA from 1 species